rnacentral:lncRNA from 1 species
AUCUUCAUUGAGGUCUCUGACCUCAAGCGUGGCCAUGUUGAAUCAGGCCACAAAAUUUUGGAGUAUUUCGGUCUCUCCUUGUUUGAUCGAAAAGAGACUAUCCGAGGUUCGUGGUGGCUUCUGACAAGUGUUGAAAUGGGUGACGAAGGAAUAUUCCAACUGCUCGAAGGAGUGGAUACUUUUCGAUCGAAGCCCAGAGCACCAGGCC